rnacentral:rRNA from 1 species
UUGAACGCUGGCGGCAUGCCUUACCCAUGCAAGUCGCACGGUAACGGGCCUUCGGGUGCCGACGAGUGGCGAACGGGUGAGUAAUACAUCGGAACGUGCCCGAUCGUGGGGGAUAACGAGGCGAAAGCUUUGCUAAUACCGCAUACGAUCUACGGAUGAAAGCAGGGGACCGCAAGGCCUUGCGCGGACGGAGCGGCCGAUGGCAGAUUAGGUAGUUGGUGGGAUAAAAGCUUACCAAGCCGACGAUCUGUAGCUGGUCUGAGAGGAUGAUCAGCCACACUGGGACUGAGACACGGCCCAGACUCCUACGGGAGGCAGCAGUGGGGAAUUUUGGACAAUGGGCGCAAGCCUGAUCCAGCCAUGCCGCGUGCAGGAUGAAGGCCUUCGGGUUGUAAACUGCUUUUGUACGGAACGAAAAGCCUUCUUUUAAUACAGGAGGGUCAUGACGGUACCGUAAGAAUAAGCACCGGCUAACUACGUG